GAUGAAGAACGUAGCGAAAUGCGAUAAGUAAUGUGAAUUGCAGAAUUCCGUGAAUCAUCGAAUCUUUGAACGCACAUUGCGCCCCCUGGCAUUCCGGGGGGCAUGCCUGUCCGAGCGUCAUUUCUGCCCUCAAGUACGGCUUGUGUGUUGGGUGUGGUCCCCCCGGGGACCUGCCCGAAAGGCAGCGGCGACGUCCGUCUGGUCCUCGAGCGUAUGGGGCUCUGUCACUCGCUCGGGAAGGACCUGCGGGGGUUGGUCACCACCAUGUUUUACCACGGUUGACCUCGGAUCAGGUAGGAGUUACCCGCUGAACUUAAGCAUAUCAAUAAGCGGAGGA
rnacentral:misc_RNA from 1 species